AGUCAUAUGCUUGUCUCAAAGAUUAAGCCAUGCAUGUCUAAGUAUAAACUUUUAUACUGUGAAACUGCGAAUGGCUCAUUAAAUCAGUUAUCGUCUAUUUGAUUGUGCCCUUACUACAUGGAUAACCGUAGUAAUUCUAGAGCUAAUACAUGCGAAAAGUCCCGACUUCUGGAAGGGAUGUAUUUAUUAGAUUAAAAACCAAUGCGUUUAACGACGCUUCGUGGUGAUUCAUAAUAACUGUUCGAAUCGCAUGGCCCUCGUGCCGGCGAUGUUUCAUUCGAGUUUCUGCCCUAUCAACUUUCGAUGGUAAGGUAUUGGCUUACCAUGGUGACAACGGGUAACGGAGAAUUAGGGUUCGAUUCCGGAGAGGGAGCCCGAGAAACGGCUACCACAUCCAAGGAAGGCAGCAGGCGCGCAAAUUACCCAAUCCCGACUCGGGGAGGUAGUGACAAUAAAUAACGUUGCAGGCGCCAACGGCUUCUGCAGUCGGAAUGAGUACAAUAUAACACCCUUAACGAGGAACAAUUGGAGGGCAAGUCUGGUGCCAGCAGCCGCGGUAAUUCCAGCUCCAAUAGCGUAUAUUAAAGUUGUUGCAGUUAAAAAGCUCGUAGUUGGAUUUCGGAACCGGCCGAUUGGUCCGUCCUCUGGAUCGUGUACUGAUCGGUCUGUUCUUCUUCGCGAAGACCGCGUGUGCCCUUAACUGGGUGGGCGUGGGAUUCGCGACGUUUACUUUGAAAAAAUUAGAGUGUUCAAAGCAGGCAGUCGCUUGAAUAUCUCAGCAUGGAAUAAUAGAAUAGGACUUUGGUCUUAUUUUGUUGGUUUCCGAGACCGAAGUAAUGAUUAAUAGGGACAGUUGGGGGCAUUCGUAUUUCAUUGUCAGAGGUGAAAU
rnacentral:rRNA from 1 species